UACAGAGGGUGCGAGCGUUGUCCGGAAUCACUGGGCGUAAAGGGCGCGUAGGUGGCGACCCAAGUCGAUGGUGAAAGCUCGCCGCUUAACGGCGAGUCGGCCACCGAUACUGGGUUGCUCGAGCACUGUAGAGGCUAAUGGAAUUCCGGGUGUAGCGGUGGAAUGCGUAGAGAUCCGGAAGAACACCGGUGGCGAAGGCGGUUAGCUGGGCAGUUGCUGACGCUGAGGCGCGAAAGCGUGGGGAGCAAACAGG
rnacentral:rRNA from 1 species